rfam:Triticum aestivum genome assembly, contig: Triticum_aestivum_CS42_TGACv1_scaffold_003008_1AL
UUAAUACUCCCUCCGUCCGAAAAUACUUGUCAUCAAAAUGAAUAAAAGAGAAUGUAUCUAGACAUAUAUUAGUUUUAGAUACAUCACUUUUUAUCCAUUUUGAUGACAAGUAUUUUCGGACGGGGGGAAGUAUAUG